rnacentral:rRNA from 1 species
UGGGGAAUAUUGCACAAUGGGGGAAACCCUGAUGCAGCAACGCCGCGUGAGUGAUGACGGCCUUAGGGUUGUAAAGCUCUUUCGCCCGCGAAGAUAAUGACGGUAGCGGGAGAAGAAGCCCCGGCUAACUUCGUGCCAGCAGCCGCGGUAAUACGAAGGGGGCUAGCGUUGUUCGGAAUCACUGGGCGUAAAGCGUACGUAGGCGGAUCGUUAAGUCAGGGGUGAAAGCCCGGAGCUCAACUCCAGAACUGCCUUUGAUACUGGCGAUCUCGAGUCCGGGAGAGGUGAGUGGAACUGCUAGUGUAGAGGUGAAAUUCGUAGAUAUUAGCAAGAACACCAGUGGCGAAGGCGGCUCACUGGCCCGGUACUGACGCUGAGGUACGAAAGCGUGGGGAGCAAACA